rnacentral:ncRNA from 1 species
GUUCAAAUGAGGAAGGGAUUAUAGUGGAUACCUAGGCACCCAGAGAUGAGGAAGGGCAUGGUAAGUGACAAAAUGCUUUGGGGAGUUGAAAAUGAGCAUAGAUCCGGAGAUUCCCGAAUAGGUUAACCUUUUUAACUGCUGCUGAAUCCAUGGGCAGGCAAGAGACAACCUGGCGAAUUGAAACAUCUUAGUAGCCAGAGGAAUAGAAAGAAAAAUUGAUUCCCGUAGUAGCAGCGAGCGAAAUGGGAGUAGCCUAAACCGUGAAAACGGGGUUGUGGGAGAGCACAAUAUAAGCUCUAUGCUGCUAGGCAAAGCAGUUGAGUCCUGCACCCUAGAUGGUGAGAGUCCAGUAGCCAAAAGCAUCAUUGGGUUACGCUCUAACUCGAGUAGCAUGGGGCAUGUGGAAUCCCAUGUGAAUCAGCAAGGACCAUCUUGCAAGGCUAAAUACUCCUGGGUGACCGAUAGCGAAGUAGUAGCGUGAGGGAAAGGUGAAAAGAACCCCCAUCGGGGAGUGAAAUAGAACAUGAAACCGUAAGCUCCCAAGAAGUGGGAGGAAAAUGAUAUCUAUGACCGUGUGCCUGUUGAAGAAUGAGCCAAAGACUUAUAGGCAGUGGCUUGGUUAAGGGAACCCACCAGAUUCGUAGCGAGAGCGAGUCUUCAUGGGGAAAUUGUCACUACUUAUGGACCCGAACCUGGGUGAUCUAUCCAUGACCAGGAUGAAGCUUGGGUGAAACUAAGUGGAGUUAUGAACCGACUGAUGUUGAAAAAUCAACGGAUGAGUCGUGGUUAGGGGUGAAAUGCCACUCGAACCCAGAGCUAGCUGGUUCUCCCCAAAAUGCGUUGAGGUGCAGCAGUUGACUGGACCAUCUAGGGGUAAAGCACUAUUUCGGUACGGGCCGCGAGAGCGGUACCAAAUCGAGGCAAACUAUGAAUACUAGAUUGCCCCAAUAAAAGGGGUAAAGGUCAGCCAGUGAGACGAUGGGGGAUAAGCUUCAUCGUCGAGAGGGAAAUAGCCCAGAUCAUCAGCUAAGCCCCCUAAAUGACCACUCAGUGAUGAAGGAAGUACGAGUGCAAAGACAGCCAGGAGGUUUGCCUAGAAGCAGCCAACCUUGAAAGAGUGUGUAAUAGCUCACUGAUCAA